GUGAACGCUGGCGGUAGGCCUAACACAUGCAAGUCGAACGGCAGCACAGUAAGAGCUUGCUCUUACGGGUGGCGAGUGGCGGACGGGUGAGGAAUACAUCGGAAUCUACUUUUUCGUGGGGGAUAACGUAGGGAAACUUACGCUAUACCGCAUACGACCUACGGGUGAAAGCAGGGGAUCUUCGGACCUUGCGCGAUUGAAUGAGCCGAUGUCGGAUUAGCUAGUUGGCGGGGUAAAGGCCCACCAAGGCGACGAUCCGUAGCUGGUCUGAGAGGAUGAUCAGCCACACUGGAACUGAGACACGGUCCAGACUCCUACGGGAGGCAGCAGUGGGGAAUAUUGGACAAUGGGCGCAAGCCUGAUCCAGCCAUACCGCGUGGGUGAAGAAGGCCUUCGGGUUGUAAAGCCCUUUUGUUGGGAAAGAAAAGCAGCAGGUUAAUACCCCGCUGUUCUGACGGUACCCAAAGAAUAAGCACCGGCUAACUUCGUG
rnacentral:rRNA from 1 species